rnacentral:rRNA from 1 species
GGUUAAGUGACUAAGCGUACAUGGUGGAUGCCUUGGCAGUCAGAGGCGAUGAAGGACGUACUAACCUGCGAUAAGCUGUGAGAAGUCGGUAAGAGACGCUAUUACUCACAGAUUUCCGAAUGGGGAAACCCACCCGAGAUAACUCGGGUAUCUGUUACUGAAUACAUAGGUAACAGAGGCGAACCGGGAGAACUGAAACAUCUAAGUACCCCGAGGAAAAGAAAUCAACCGAGAUUCCCUCAGUAGCGGCGAGCGAACGGGGAUUAGCCCUUAAGCAUCUUGGAAGUUAGUGGAACGGUCCUGGAAAGGCCGGCGAUACAGGGUGAUAGCCCCGUACACGAAAACAACCUUGAUGUGAAAUCGAGUAGGGCGGGACACGUGACAUCCUGUCUGAAUAUGGGGGGACCAUCCUCCAAGGCUAAAUACUCCUGACUGACCGAUAGUGAACCAGUACCGUGAGGGAAAGGCGAAAAGAACCCCUGUGAGGGGAGUGAAAUAGAACCUGAAACCGUGUACGUACAAGCAGUGGGAGCCCUUCGGGGUGACUGCGUACCUUUUGUAUAAUGGGUCAGCGACUUACAUUUUGUAGCGAGGUUAACCGUAUAGGGGAGCCGUAGGGAAACCGAGUCUUAACUGGGCGUCUAGUUGCAAGGUGUAGACCCGAAACCGGGUGAUCUAGCCAUGGGCAGGUUGAAGGUUGAGUAACAUCAACUGGAGGACCGAACCCACUAACGUUGCAAAGUUAGGGGAUGACCUGUGGCUGGGGGUGAAAGGCCAAUCAAACUCGGAGAUAGCUGGUUCUCCCCGAAAGCUAUUUAGGUAGCGCCUCGGACGAAUACUACUGGGGGUAGAGCACUGUUUGGGCUAGGGGGUCAUCCCGACUUACCAACCCCAUGCAAACUCCGAAUACCAGUAAGUAAUAUCCGGGAGACACACGGCGGGUGCUAACGUCCGUCGUGAAGAGGGAAACAACCCAGACCGCCGGCUAAGGUCCCAAAGUUCUGGUUAAGUGGGAAACGAUGUGGGAAGGCUCAGACAGCUAGGAUGUUGGCUUAGAAGCAGCCAUCAUUUAAAGAAAGCGUAAUAGCUCACUAGUCGAGUCGGCCUGCGCGGAAGAUGUAACGGGGCUCAAACCAGGCACCGAAGCCGCGGAUUCACACUUAUGUGUGAGUGGUAGGGGAGCGUUCUGUAAGUCUGCGAAGGUGUAUCGAGAGGUAUGCUGGAGAUAUCAGAAGUGCGAAUGCUGACGUAAGUAACGAUAAAGGGGGUGAAAAGCCUCCUCGCCGGAAGACCAAGGGUUCCUGUCCAACGUUAAUCGGGGCAGGGUGAGUCGACCCCUAAGGCGAGGCCGAAAGGCGUAGUCGAUGGGAAGCAGGUUAAUAUUCCUGCACGACUUGUAAUUGCGAUGGGGGGACGGAGAAGGCUAGGUGGGCCAGGCGACGGUUGUCCUGGUGAAAGUGCGUAGGUGGUGUUUCUAGGCAAAUCCGGAGACACAACACUGAGACACGAGACGAACACACUACGGUGUGGAAGCCAUUGAUGCCCUGCUUCCAGGAAAAGCCUCUAAGCUUCAGAUUACAAGUCAUCGUACCCCAAACCGACACAGGUGGUCGGGUAGAGAAUACCAAGGCGCUUGAGAGAACUCGGGUGAAGGAACUAGGCAAAAUAGAACCGUAACUUCGGGAGAAGGUUCGCUCUUGACAGUGAAGUCCCUCGCGGAUGGAGCAGUUGGGAGUCGCAGUGACCAGAUGGCUGGGACUGUUUAUCAAAAACACAGCACUCUGCAAACACGAAAGUGGACGUAUAGGGUGUGACACCUGCCCGGUGCCGGAAGGUUAAUUGAUGGGGUUAGCGCAAGCGAAGCUCUUGAUCGAAGCCCCGGUAAACGGCGGCCGUAACUAUAACGGUCCUAAGGUAGCGAAAUUCCUUGUCGGGUAAGUUCCGACCUGCACGAAUGGUGUAACCAUGGCCAUGCUGUCUCCACCCGAGACUCAGUGAAAUCGAAUUCGCCGUGAAGAUGCGGUGUACCCGCGGCUAGACGGAAAGACCCCGUGAACCUUUACUACAGCUUGGCACUGAACAUUGAACCUACAUGUGUAGGAUAGGUGGGAGGCUUUGAAGGCGUGACGCCAGUUGCGCUGGAGCCGUCCUUGAAAUACCACCCUUGUAUGUUUGAUGUUCUAACGCAGGGCCCUGAAUCGGGCUCGCGGACAGUGCCUGGUGGGUAGUUUGACUGGGGCGGUCUCCUCCCAAAGAGUAACGGAGGAGCACGAAGGUUGGCUAAUCCUGGUCGGACAUCAGGAGGUUAGUGCAAUGGCAUAAGCCAGCUUAACUGCGAGACGGACAGGUCGAGCAGGUACGAAAGUAGGUCAUAGUGAUCCGGUGGUUCUGAAUGGAAGGGCCAUCGCUCAACGGAUAAAAGGUACUCCGGGGAUAACAGGCUGAUACCGCCCAAGAGUUCAUAUCGACGGCGGUGUUUGGCACCUCGAUGUCGGCUCAUCACAUCCUGGGGCUGAAGUCGGUCCCAAGGGUAUGGCUGUUCGCCAUUUAAAGUGGUACGCGAGCUGGGUUCAGAACGUCGUGAGACAGUUCGGUCCCUAUCUGCCGUGGGCGUUGGAUGAUUGAAGGGAGUUGCUCCUAGUACGAGAGGACCGGAGUGAACGAACCUCUGGUGUUCGGGUUGUCACGCCAGUGGCACUGCCCGGUAGCUAAGUUCGGAAUCGAUAACCGCUGAAAGCAUCUAAGCGGGAAGCGAGCCCUGAGAUGAGUCAUCCCUGACCCCUUGAGGGUCCUAAAGGGCCGUUGGAGACCACAACGUUGAUAGGUGGGGUGUGUAAGCGCGGCGACGUGUUGAGCUAACCCAUACUAAUUACCCGUGAGGCUUAACCAU